GUUGAACGCUGGCGGAAUGCUUAACACAUCAGCAAUGGAUUGGUGGCGGACGGGUGAGUAACGAGUAAAGAACUUGCAUCACAGCUAGGGCCAACAUUUGGAAGCGAAUGCUAAUACCUAAUACUGUGAGAGAGCUUUGGGUCCCAUUAGCUAGUUGGAGAGGUAACGGCUCACAAAGGCGAGGAUGGGUAGCCGGCCUGAGAGGGUGAUCGGCCACAAGGGGCCUGAGACACGGCCCUUACUCCUUCGUGAGGCAUCAGCGGGGAAUAUAGAACAAUGGACCAAAGUCUGAUCCAGCACUUCUGUGUGCAAAAUGAUUUUUUCGGAAUGAAAAGUGCUUUCAGUGGGGAAGCGUUACCAACAGAAGAAGUGACGGCUAAAUACGUGCCAGCAGCCGCGGUAAUUC
rnacentral:rRNA from 1 species